rnacentral:lncRNA from 1 species
GCUGCCUCAGAGCCUGAAGCCAUGGUACUUGAUACUACAAUCUCCCCUCUUAGUGUUUCUGGCCAGCUUUUGAGAACAGCAGGGAAGGUAUUCAGGGUAGAAGACAAUGGCAAAUGUCAAGAAGGAGAAGGAGAAUCUAGAGUUUAAAAGACUGCUGAGUGACAUGUGGAACAGAUCAAAGGAAGAAAUUUAUCAGUCUCCAAUUCUCCAGAAAUGUUGAUGGUUCAUUACUUAUCCAGAGAAUAUCAAAGUGACACAGAAGUGAGGAGAAUCUAAUUUUCCUUUUAGGAAAAAUGGGAAAUGACACUUGGAUAGAAAACCAUGGAAGAUUUCUUGACUAUCUAUCCCCAAAUAGGAAUCUCUCUAAGGGCUUAGACUCUACACCCAAGAAAAUCAAGACCACAAAUAUAGAAGAAAAUGUGGAGCAGCUGACUUUUCCAUGAAUUCAAAUAAUUUUCCUGAAUCUUUCAAAGCAGAAC